rnacentral:rRNA from 1 species
UACGUAGGGGGCGAGCGUUGUCCGGAUUUAUUGGGCGUAAAGAGCGUGUAGGCGGCCAGGUAGGUCUGCUGUGAAAACUCGAGGCUCAACCUCGAGACGUCGGCGGAAACCAUCUGGCUAGAGUCCGGAAGAGGCGAGUGGAAUUCCUGGUGUAGCGGUGGAAUGCGCAGAUAUCAGGAGGAACACCAAUAGCGAAGGCAGCUCGCUGGGACGGUACUGACGCUAAGGCGCGAAAGCGUGGGGAGCGAACAGG